rnacentral:tRNA from 1 species
AACGAACUAGCAGAAAAAAUGUGUUUGAUUUAGGAUUAAGAGGUGGGCUGCAGUGUCCGUUCGUUA